UACGGGGGGGGCAAGCGUUGUUCGGAAUUACUGGGCGUAAAGGGCUCGUAGGCGGCCAACUAAGUCGGACGUGAAAUCCCUCGGCUUAACCGGGGAACUGCGUCCGAUACUGGAUGGCUUGAGUUCGGGAGAGGGAUGCGGAAUUCCAGGUGUAGCGGUGAAAUGCGUAGAUAUUGGGAGGAACACCAGUGGCGAAGGCGGCUCACUGGACCGGAACUGACGCUGAGGCGCGAAAGCGUGGGGAGCAAACGGG
rnacentral:rRNA from 1 species